GUGUUCUUCCUCGAUUCUCCACUUAGGAAAAAUGGAAAAAAAAAUAAAUAUGUCGUUAACGCAAAAAACGUGUCGGUUUACUUUUACCACGGUCUAAUGGUAGCCGGCAAGGAACAAAUGAUUCAAAGUAACAGCCAUUAAAAUCCUUUUCUUCUUAAAUGGUACUUUUGUAUCAUGAUUUUGUUAAAUGUUUUUAACGGUGUAUGUUUUGUUUUGUUGUGUUGUGUGUUGUCGUUAUUACUGCUACGGGGGAAAGAAAAUGAAAAAUAUCCAACUCACGGAGACACACAGAAGAGCACUGUUUAUGAUUACCAUAAUCGCAAUGAAUCUUUUAAAACAGAUAUUCUGAGUGAUGUCAUAGAUAAAGGCUCUGAAUUUCUUCCCAUCUGGUCUGGGCGAAUAAUUGGCAAUAACGACACCAACGAACAGAGUCAGACCAAUCAUACAACCCAAAAAGAUAUAGAUGUGUAUAUAAAUAGCGUGGACCUAAAAAAUCAUUAAGCUGAACAAGAAAAAGAGUUUAUUGGGCGUGAACGUACGACAUAAAUAAAAACGUCCAGAACAGAGGCGACGUCUUUGAUGUAGGCCUUUGGUGUGAAAAAUAAUCCGUCCGCCAGAAUCUUGAGCGCUAAUUCGAUACUCAUGAAGAUAACGAAACCGUACUCGGCGAUUUGCAAUGCGGGAACUUCCAUGACGCGAUACCGUGGCGUCUCGAACAUCAUAGAGAUGCAAGACAUCGUGGUAGCAAAGAUCAUUACCCAGUCCAGGUACGUGACCAAGCCAAGGAAGUUACUAAAAAGCGUGUGUGAUUAUUGGCGAUUGUCAGGUUCUUCUACGAACUUCAAGCAACAAUCUACUGCGUGUCAUGAAAGAGCAGCCAUGUUAAAUAGGGGCACUUAC